UACGAAGGGGGCUAGCGUUGCUCGGAAUGACUGGGCGUAAAGGGCGCGUAGGCGGAUGGCACAGUCAGAUGUGAAAUUCCCGGGCUUAACCUGGGGGCUGCAUUUGAUACGUGUUGUCUAGAGUGAGGAAGAGGGUUGUGGAAUUCCCAGUGUAGAGGUGAAAUUCGUAGAUAUUGGGAAGAACACCGGUGGCGAAGGCGGCUCUCUGGACCGAUACUGACGCUGAGGCGCGAAAGCGUGGGAGCAAACAGG
rnacentral:rRNA from 1 species